CAGGAGCAGCCUCGGUAGGCAGGAUUGCUGUCCCAUGGGUUUCUACACCUUUCCUGGCUCUGUGGACAGCAUCACAAGUCCGAGAAGCUUUGGAAAGAGAGGCCAGUGCUAGGCUGUUUUAUCUGUUUGUGGGGGCUGGGGGUGAAUGAGAGGCCUUCUUGAGGUCUCUUCCAGCCAAGCACCUCCUGGAUAACCGCACUGAGUCGCUUCCCUUCAGAGCCUCAGUGAGCAGAAGCUAACAUUCCCAACAGGCAGCCUCAGUUUGAGCAGAGCCGAACAGCCCGACGGGCGGGCGAGGCCUGUCAUCCGUCCUGUCUGGCCACAUUCAUUCCGGGCUGUCCUGCUUUGUGGCUUCCUCACCACCACCCAAACUUGUCUGCAUGUCCUACAUCCAUCCAGAUCAGCAGAGAUGGCAGAAAUACUCCCUCAGGCCCUGCACACUCCUGGACGCACAGACCCGUCCUUCUUCUCAACAGGACUCCUGUCUCCUCCCGUCGCCCGUCCUCCAAGCCAGCCCUGAUUCCGACCGACGCUGCAAACACCUUGAAUGAGUCUGUUACCGCAAGAUGAGGGCCUCUUGCACCUGACUCCCUCGGAAUGCCCAUCCCUUGAUGCCUCCAGGCUCCAGCAGUGGAGGGUCGGGGAGCUCAGAUUUUAGAAAGGAUGGAGGAUCCUGGAAGAUUUCCUCCUCCUCGACCAGGGUUUAUCUCAAAGCAUGAAGACCAGGCAUGCUGUGGUUGGGCCAGCCAGGAUGCCAUUUACUCCACCAGAGGGAAGAGUCAAUGCACUGAGGACAAUUCCUGUAACUUUUCAGCACCUGAGGGUGUCGGAGAAGAAUGUGGUGAGACCAUCCAUCCAUGCUUCUGUGUCUUAUCCUCCCUGGACAUGCCAUCCGUGGACUUCAAAUCCGUCUCCGUGGGAAGCAAGCCCCAGGUUGUGCGUCUAUCGCAAACCGCGUCUCCAUCUUUGCGAACCAAGCUCAGUUUACUUUCACGUAUACAAAUGGGGCUGCUGGCCAGAGGCCUCCCAGGGAUUUCAGCGCGUGUGCUACUGACAGCAAUUCUCUCUCUCACUGAUUUAGAACGUCCACCUUGGUAUGGCAUGCAUCUACUUCUUAACCUUUAUUUACUUUGAAUGUUGAUCCCAGCACACCAUUUGCAGAAAACACAAAGGUGUUUCAAAAGAGCUGACAGGACCUAGUGGCUUGACACCCAGGUCUCCUGUCUUACCGGUCAACUAAGAGUAGCAGCAAUGCAGCUGAUGGAAAUAUCACGCCCAUGAGAGUCAGACCAACUGGUUAAACUCUUGGCUCUGCCAUGUGGAAGCUGUGUGGCUUAGCACUGAUUUCUACUGGGAACAAGUUUCUACUCCAUUCCCACGCCACAGUCAGAGAGUUGAGGGGGCAAAUAGGUCUUUACCCGGAAGCCCUGGAAACCUGAUCGCACGGUUGGCUGUGUGCCACCUGGUGGUGGAAAGAGCUUCUUCCCAAAUGUCAUGAGAAGCCUCAGGAGGACAGUUUGGGGUAAUCUGAAGUCCAUAUUCCCACCUGUAACCCGUGAGACUGAGUCAAGACCAGCUGACCUUUGAAGCAGAAAGAUCAUGUAUAAAUCUGAUUCUCCGUGACAUUUCGGCCCAGACCAGAGCCCACGAGAAAACUUCAGGCGCUACAGCUGCAGAGCUGUAACCCCUCUCCUGGUGGCACAGCACUUCUGCCACAGUGCUGGUCCCUAAGGGAAGAGGACCAUCAAGAGAAUAAGCCGCAGUCGACAGGGGGACGUUCUACAGCAUUGACAGUGGAGACCGUGCCAGGGGACGGCCAGAAACUGCAGGGAACAUGGGGCCAAGGUGGGCCCUCGAUGACUCUCUUCUGCCUCUGAGGCAAAGCCACUCAUACGAUGCCCAGCAGCAGGGGGCUGGCAUCCUUUGGGUCAGGGGUCCUCUCAGCAGCAGGCAGAGCCAUUCAGAGUUCAAUCUCCUAAAGACAUUCUGUUCCAGGUUCAAAUCUGGUUCUGCUACUCAUCAGCUGGGGGACCCAGGCAGGUGGCGUAAUCGCUUUGUGUCUCAGUUUCCUCAUCUAUAGGAUGGGGGUAUAUUAGUUUCUUGUGGCUGCUCUAACAGAUUUACAAUUUGUAUAGAAAAUUACCACCUACUCUGUAUGUGGUACCAGAAAUUUGUUCUUUCACAAUUCUGGAGACCAAAAGUCUGAAACGAGAGUCCCUCCAGAGCUCCAGAGGAGCCUGCUUUUGUGGGGGGACUGGAAUUGGCCACCCCAAGAUAUGUCUCUUUGGCAUGAGGAUUAUUUGGGGCUAAUUGCUUUGAUAAACUGGGACAGGGAAGGAGGCUCUGAGGGGUGGAACUUGCUUGCCCUUUGUUAGGACACAUUUACAUUGUAAAGGAAAUCUCUACCUGUAAAUGUGCCUCCCUCUCUGUACCAGGAAGAAGAAAGGGGAUGACCUUCUCUCUAGAAACUCUUAAUCAAUACCAAAGGCAAGGACUUAAAUCUGCAUUUGUUUAUUGUGCUUGUCUGGUAACCUCCUGUAACUGACUCCCCCCACCCCCAGCAUCCUCCUUUGUCUUUAGCUGGAUAUGAUAUUUGGGGUGGUGGUUUCGGCCAUUUUGGCAAGUUGCUUGGCUUGCCUGAGCCUCUCCCAUGUAUACAUUGACAAAUAGAAAUGGCAAGCAAUAGGAUAUAUUGGAGUACAUGAGGAAGCCAUUUGGUGUAAGCCUAAUUCGGCCUGACUUUGCUAUUUUUUCCAAAAGGGCCUGACUGUGGCCAUUGAGCACGCAUUGUAUAUCUGCUUUAAAACAUGUACUAUGGCAAGAACAAAGGCCCUUGAGAUAAAGGUGCAACUUCCCUCUCCCUCCCAAUGUUGGCAUUUCCUUAAGGAUUAAGCAUCUUUCCUUAGGCUAGGAACUGAUUGCUGCGCUCACCUGUGACCACCCAGCUUGAGACAAUAGACUUGCCUCCUGCUACGCCCUCCAAGAUAGCAGACCCACUACCUGCUGUGUCGAUCAAGCGCUGUGCCGACAGGGCAAUCUUGUGACUAUUGUGGGAGGGACAUUUCAAUCAUAUGUGAAACAGCCUGUUUGGGGGUAUAUAACCACUCUGUGCACCCCACUUCUUCGGUGCCCUUUCUUCCUUCGGGAACAAAGGCCUCGGGCCAUGGUCCUCAUAAAGCUUUGUUUCAUUUUCU
ensembl:lncRNA